UGCCGGUCGGGGCGGCCCUUCCGGCCUACGGUGCCGGUGCCGGUGCCGGUGCCGGUGCCGGUGCCGGUGCCGGUGCCGGUGG
rnacentral:tRNA from 1 species